rnacentral:ncRNA from 21 species
AAGGUCUCCCGUAACUGGCGUCUCGAGGUGGAUCACCACCGGGGAGCGGGGCCAAAAGACCUUACAGCCGUACGCCUGGGCCCCCUUU